rnacentral:rRNA from 1 species
AACGAACGCUGGCGGCAUGCCUAACACAUGCAAGUCGAACGAGACCUUCGGGUCUAGUGGCGCACGGGUGCGUAACGCGUGGGAACCUGCCCUUAGGUUCGGAAUAACUCCCCGAAAGGGGUGCUAAUACCGGAUAAUGUCUUCGGACCAAAGAUUUAUCGCCUUUGGAUGGGCCCGCGUUGGAUUAGCUAGUUGGUAGGGUAAAAGCCUACCAAGGCGUCGAUCCAUAGCUGGUCUGAGAGGAUGGUCAGCCACACUGGGACUGAGACACGGCCCAGACUCCUACGGGAGGCAGCAGUGGGGAAUAUUGGAAAAUGGGCGAAAGCAUGAUCCAGCAAUGCUGGGUGAGUGAUGAAGGCGUUAGGGUUGUAAAGCUCUUUUACCCGGGAUGAUAAUGACAGUACCGGGAGAAUAAGCUCCGGCUAACUCCGUG